UCAUGCUCACCUGUCCAGCAGGCUUCCUGCUGCUCUGCACACCUGUUCCCAAUCAUCUCAUCAGCCUGUGACCUGUUCCCGUGCCGGCCUCCCCAGCUGCACCUCAUCAGCUAACGAGUCUCCCAGCACUCAGCUGCUCCUUCAGCAACACACAGAAACUGUUCCAGCUGACAGCGUGGAGGGAGCUGUGGACCUGGUGAACUGUGACAGAGAACUGAACUGACCCUCGUCUUUCAGAAACACAACAGCUCCAUUAUGCUAAAGCUACAUCAGCUGUUCCACCACAAAGCUUCACCGCCACUGGAGAGGUCGUCAUUAUGUACAGAAGCUCCGGGAGGUCUGUGUUGUAUAAAGAGAGGGGAGAAGUGUGAGUCUCUGGGUAUUAACCCAUUAUUAAUGGUGACUGGUGCCUGGCAGCACGACGCAGCACGACUGAUUCUGAGAGAGAGAGGCAUCUGUCAGACAACACAGAAUGGAGGAAAUGUCAGAAGAUGAGCUCUGUAAUCAGGCAUCCCAUCCUGAUGCAUGUCAUAUAUGUAUUGGACAGACAGAUGGAGCGCAGAACCACUUCCUGUCCCGUCCUUCCUGACAGCAGUAAGA